GGUGGUUCUCAGGUGAUGCACCCUGGAAUCAGGCUCCCUCCCCGGGGUGUGUCACCCAAGAACCACA
rfam:Myotis brandtii contig315358, whole genome shotgun sequence.